rnacentral:rRNA from 1 species
CUAAGUGGCGGACGGGUGAGUAACGCGUGGGUAACCUGCCUCAUACAGGGGGAUAACAGUUAGAAAUGACUGCUAAUACCGCAUAAGACCACAGCACCGCAUGGUGCAGGGGUAAAAACUCCGGUGGUAUGAGAUGGACCCGCGUCUGAUUAGGUAGUUGGUGGGGUAACGGCCUACCAAGCCGACGAUCAGUAGCCGACCUGAGAGGGUGACCGGCCACAUUGGGACUGAGACACGGCCCAA